CCGUUGCUUGCAACGGCGAAUUGUAGUCUCGAGAAGCGUUUUCACGGCGGAUCCUCCUUGCCUAAGUUGCUUGGAACAGCACAUCAGAGAGGGUGACAAUCCCGUUCGUGGCAGGGCGGACCGCUCACGAUACGCUUUCCAUGAGUCGGGUUGCUUGGGAAUGCAGCCCAAAAUUGGUGGUAAACUCCAUCUAAAGCUAAAUAUUGGCACGAGACCGAUAGCGAACAAGUACCGUGAGGGAAAGAUGAAAAGAACUUUGAAAAGAGAGUUAAAAAGUGCGUGAAACCGUUAGAGGGGAAACGGAUGCAGUUAGCAAUGCUUCUGCGAGAUUCAGGCGAUCGCUCGAUGCGACGUGCAGCUGGUGGAUCUGAAUGGACUGUCGCUGCACGGCCGUGUCUGGUGCUCGCCGCACUUCCCGUAGGAGUGCGUCAACAGCUGCUGGAGAAGGUAAACGGGCUAGACGGCGUCUGUGGAAGGUAGGUGUCCGGCUCGCCGAGCACUGUUACAGCCACUAGUGUCCCAGCUCGACUCUGGCAGAGGUGACAUCGCGGUGCAUGCUCUCCGAUUUCCCGGAGGGCUGACGUCCUGUUCCGUUCUCGUAGCCGGUUCCGAGGUGCACUGCGUGCAGUUCGCCCUGGACGGUGAAAAGGCGUGCAGUCAACGUACACUAUGCACCAUGGUUGUUGGCGGCCAUAUGGCUUCAUCCGACCCGUCUUGAAACACGGACCAAGGAGUCUAACAUGUGCGCAAGUCUUGGGGUGACCGAAACCCAGAGGCACAAUGAAAGUGAAGGCUGUCUGACAGCCGAGGUGAGAUCUCCGUUCCCGUCGUGGGACGGUGCGCAUCAUCGACCGACCUAUUCUACUCUUAGAAAGGUUUGAGUAAGAGCGUACGUGCUGGGACCCGAAAGAUGGUGAACUAUGCUUGAGUAGGGUGAAGCCAGAGGAAACUCUGGUGGAAGCUCGUAGCGAUUCUGACGUGCAAAUCGAUCGUCAAACUUGAGUAUAGGGGCGAAAGACUAAUCGAACCAUCUA
rnacentral:rRNA from 1 species